rnacentral:tRNA from 1 species
UUAACUAAAACCAAAUAGAGGUAUAUUAUUGUUAAUAAUAAAAUUGAAUAUUUAUAUUCUAGUUAAG